UACGGGGGGGGCAAGCGUUGUUCGGAAUUACUGGGCGUAAAGAGUGUGUAGGCGGUGCUCUAAGUCUGUUGUGAAAUCUCCCGGCUUAACCGGGAGGGUGCGGUGAAUACUGAGGGACUAGAGUACGGGAGAGGAAAGUGGAAUUCCUGGUGUAGCGGUGAAAUGCGUAGAUAUCAGGAGGAACACCGGUGGUGUAGACGGCUUUCUGGACCGACACUGACGCUGAGACACGAAAGCGUGGGUAGCAAACAGG
rnacentral:rRNA from 1 species